rnacentral:rRNA from 1 species
GGAUUAGUACGUCGGUCGUGCCUUAGGUACGUACUGGUGUUACUGGUUCCUACCUUCUGACGAACCAUCAUGUCAUUAAUUUGGUGUGGYGGGGAAUCAGGACUGUUACUUUGAAAAAAUUAGAGUGUUUAAAGCAGGCUCGCGCUUGAAUACAUUAGCAUGGAAUAAUGAAAUAGGACGUUGAUCCUAUUUUGUUGGUUUCUAGGAUUGACGUA